AAACUUUAACAAGGAAUUUUACAUUUUAAAUAGAUCUGAGAGCUCUUAACUUGCAUCAUCCUCCAAAUUCUCCUACUUGAUUUGUAAAUUCCAAUUCAAAUUGUCUUCUUAAAAAACCCAUAUCUUCCACCUUGCACCAUUUUUUAUAGCCAGACUAAACACAUUCGGAAAAAAUGCGUUACAAUGGCUCCUCUCCAGCAACUUAUUCAACCAAAAUAGUAUUUUCCCCCAAUAUAACCUACAAGAAAUUCAUUUAUUGAACCAAU
rnacentral:lncRNA from 1 species